UGAUUAGCUAGUUGGUGAGGUAAAAGCUUACCAAGGCAACGAUCAGUAGCUGGUCUGAGAGGAUGAUCAGCCACACUGGGACUGAGACACGGCCCAGACUCCUACGGGAGGCAGCAGUGGGGAAUUUUCCGCAAUGGGCGCAAGCCUGACGGAGCAAGACCGCGUGGGGGAGGAAAGCCUUGGGUUGUAAACCCCUUUUCUCAGGGAAGAACCAAAGUGACGGUACCUGAGGAAUCAGCCUCGGCUAACUCCGUGCCAGCAGCCGCGGUAAUACGGAGGAGGCAAGCGUUAUCCGGAAUGAUUGGGCGUAAAGCGUUCGUAGGUGGCUAUUCAAGUCUGCUGUCAAAGACAGAAGCUCAACUUCUGAAAGGCAGUGGAAACUGAGUAGCUGGAGUGCGGUAGGGGCAGAGGGAAUUCCCGGUGUAGCGGUGAAAUGCGUAGAGAUCGGGAAGAACACCGGUGGCGAAAGCGCUCUGCUGGGCCGCAACUGACACUGAGGGACGAAAGCUAGGGGAGCGAAUGGGAUUAGAUACCCCAGUAGUCCUAGCUGUAAACGAUGGAAACUAGGUGUUGCCUGUAUCGACCCAGGCAGUGCCGUAGCUAACGCGUUAAGUUUCCCGCCUGGGGAGUACGCACGCAAGUGUGAAACUCAAAGGAAUUGACGGGGGCCCGCACAAGCGGUGGAGUAUGUGGUUUAAUUCGAUGCAACGCGAAGAACCUUACCAGGGCUUG
rnacentral:rRNA from 1 species